rnacentral:rRNA from 1 species
GCACAAGCGGUGGAGUAUGUGGUUUAAUCGAUGCAACGCGAAGAACCUUACCUGGUCUUGACAUCCCGGAGACCCUUAGGAAACUAGGGGGUGCUUCCAUCUGGAAGAAUCUGGAGACAGGUGCUGCAUGGCUGUCGUCAGCUCGUGUCGUGAGAUGUUGGGUUAAGUCCCGCAACGAGCGCAACCCUUGCCUUUAGUUGCCAGCAGUUCGGCUGGGCACUCUAAAGGGACUGCCGGUGUUAAACCGGAGGAAGGUGGGGAUGACGUCAAGUCCUCAUGGCCUUUAUGACCAGGGCUACACACGUACUACAAUGGCCGAUACAAAGGGCAGCGACACUGCGAGGUGAAGCCAAUCCCGUAAAAUCGGUCUCAGUCCGGAUUGGAGUCUGCAACUCGACUCCAUGAAGUUGGAAUCGCUAGUAAUCGUGGAUCAGCAUGCCACGGUGAAUACGUUCCCGGGCCUU